rnacentral:rRNA from 1 species
UACGAAGGGGGCUAGCGUUGCUCGGAAUGACUGGGCGUAAAGGGCGCGUAGGCGGAUGAUACAGUCAGAUGUGAAAUUCCCGGGCUUAACCUGGGGGCUGCAUUUGAGACGUGUUGUCUAGAGUGAGGAAGAGGGUUGUGGAAUUCCCAGUGUAGCGGUGAAAUGCGUAGAUAUUGGGAGGAACACCAGUGGCGAAGGCGGCUACCUGGACCGGAACUGACGCUGAUGCGCGAAAGCGUGGGUAGCAAACAGG